rnacentral:rRNA from 1 species
UGCCAGCCGCCGCGGUAAUACGAAGGUCCCGAGCGUUAUUCGGAAUUACUGGGCUUAAAGAGUUCGUAGGUGGUUGAAAAAGUUGGUGGUGAAAUCCCAGAGCUUAACUCUGGAACUGCCAUCAAAACUUUUCAGCUAGAGUAUGAUAGAGGAAAGCAGAAUUUCUAGUGUAGAGGUGAAAUUCGUAGAUAUUAGAAAGAAUACCAAUUGCGAAGGCAGCUUUCUGGAUCAUUACUGACGCUGAGGAACGAAAGCAUGGGUAGCGAAGAGGAUUAGAUA